rnacentral:rRNA from 1 species
ACCUACGGGAGGCAGCAGUGGGGGAUAUUGCACAAUGGGGGAAACCCUGAUGCAGCGACGCCGCGUGAGUGAAGAAGUAUUUCGGUACGUAAAGCUCUAUCAGCAGGGAAGAAUAAUGACGGUACCUGACUAAGAAGCCCCGGCUAACUACGUGCCAGCAGCCGCGGUAAUACGUAGGGAGCGAGCGUUGUCCGGAAUUACUGGGUGUAAAGGGAGUGUAGGCGGGAUGGUAAGUUAGGUGUGAAAUGCGGAGGCUCAACCUCCGAGCUGCACUUAAAACUGCUGUUCUUGAGUGAAGU